rnacentral:rRNA from 1 species
UACGAGAGGGGCAAGCGUUAUUCGGAAUGAUUGGGCGUAAAGCGUGCGUAGAUGGUUUUUAGUGACUUAUGGUACAAAUCAAGGCAACACCUUGAUCAAUCAUAAGCUGCAAUCAACUUGAGUCGAUAUUAGGAGAGUAGAAUUCCUGGCGUAGAGGUAAAAUUUGUUGAUUUCAGGAGGAAUACCUAAAGCGAAAGCAGCUCUCUAGUAUACUACUGACAUUGAGGCACGGAAAAGCGUGGGUAGCGAAA